rnacentral:rRNA from 1 species
UACGUAGGGUGCGAGCGUUAAUCGGAAUUACUGGGCGUAAAGCGUGCGCAGGCGGCUUCGCAAGUCAGGCGUGAAAUCCCCGGGCUUAACCUGGGAAUGGCGUCCGAAACUACGGAGCUGGAGUGUGGCAGAGGGAGGUAGAAUUCCACGUGUAGCGGUGAAAUGCGUAGAUAUGUGGAGGAAUACCGAUGGCGAAGGCAGCCUCCUGGGCCAACACUGACGCUCAUGCACGAAAGCGUGGGGAGCAAACAGG